rnacentral:rRNA from 1 species
AGACGUCUACAUUAGAUACCCGGGUAGUCCCAGCCGUAAACAAUGUGCGUUAGGUGUGUCGGUAACCACGCGUUACUGAUGCGCCGAGGAGAAAUCGUGAAACGCACCACCUGGGAAGUACGGUCGCAAGGCUGAAACUUAAGGGAAUUGGCGGGGAGCACCACAACAGGUGGAGCCUGCGGUUUAAUUGGAUUCAACGCCGGACAUCUCACCGGAUAAGACAGCUGAAUGAUUGUCAAUCUGAAGGUUUUACAUGACUAGCUG